rnacentral:rRNA from 1 species
UGGGGAAUAUUGGACAAUGGGGGGAACCCUGAUCCAGCCAUGCCGCGUGUGUGAAGAAGGCCUUAUGGUUGUAAAGCACUUUAAGCGAGGAGGAGGGUACUGGCAUUAAUACUACCAGGUACUGGACGUUACUCGCAGAAUAAGCACUGGCUAACUCUGUGCCAGCAGCCGCGGUAAUACAGCGGGUGCGAGCGUUAAUCGGAUUUACUGGGCGUAAAGCGUGCGUAUGCGGCUAAUUGAGUCGGAUGUGAAAUCCCCGAGCUUAACUUGGGAAUUGCAUUCGAUACUGGUUAGCUAGAGUGUGGGAGAGGAUGGUAGAAUUCCAGGUGUAGCGGUGAAAUGCGUAGAGAUCUGGAGGAAUACCGAUGGCGAAGGCAGCCAUCUGGCCUAACACUGACGCUGAGGUACGAAAGCAUGGGGAGCAAACAGG